CUGAAAAAUAAAGUCUCUUUUAGACAUAUCUGCAAGGCAUUUACGCAUACUAGUAUCAAUUCUGUUGAACCAAAUAAUCAAGAACAGAGAGAAAAUAUCGACCGUGCAAAAAAUGAUGAUUUUUAUGACAUUAACAUAGAUAAAAUUAUUGACUCGGAGCCUGAAUUUAAUAUAAAACAACAAUUAAGUUCAGAUACUGAGUUUAAAAUUGACCCUGAAAUUGUCCUAAAUGCAGAAAAUGUGCCAAUUCAUGGCAAUGCAGACGAGCAAGUUAAGAAAAAAAUUGAGCAAACACUAAAUUCAUUAGAAAAAGAGUUAGGAUCUUGGGCCACAAAGCAUAAAAUUAAAAGAAGUGCAGUAUCAGAUUUAUUGAAACUACUGAGUAAAUAUAUACCAAAAGCUGAUCUUCCGAAAGACUACACAACUCUCCUAAAGACUCCAAGAAAUACUAAGUUGUUGGACAUGACACCUGGAAGUUAUUACCAUUUUGAUAUGAAAUCAGCCAUAAUUUACAUUUAAAGUAGGUACUAAAAGCUCAAUGUAGAAUAUUUAUUUAUUGGAUGUGGCCCUAAGACUAAUUAAUAUCUCUUAUCUUGCCAGCAUUGGGGGUCACGAAGUUGGGGCAAUUACUAAAAAUAUUUUAAGAAAGCUUUUGACUAAUGCAGUUGCUAGCCUUUAUAAUUGGGAGGGUAAAAAAGGUUAUAUAUUGUAAUAAUUGUACAGAAGCCGCAAUACAGAGUCCUCACUAUAAGGGUAUUGAAGAAGACGUUAUCCAAGCGAUAAAAAACUGGAUGAGACAUGCCUCAGCAAGGCUGAAAACUACUAAUCAGAAGAAGAGCCCAGAGGGAAGUGAUGAAAAUUCACUUGAUGUCAGGUUCAUUUAAAACCUGCUGAUAUUAUACGUUCAGUAUUUGAAGUCCGUUUUUAGCCAAGUUUUUGGGAAAAUAUUUUUAUAGAUAAAUGUACA
rnacentral:lncRNA from 1 species